GACUGAAACAGGCUCAGUUGGUAGAGCAUGAGACUUUUAAUCUCAAGGAUGUGGGUUCGAGUCCCAUGUUGGUUG